rnacentral:lncRNA from 1 species
AACAAUCUGGAUAGGAAUCUCUUUAUAGGACAAGUCUUUCUCAAAGUGAAAUGGUUCGUACUCAAUCACGUGCUUGUAAUCAGGUUUAUAUGGUCGUAACACCGAAGCAUGAAAAACAUUAUGAAUGUUUUGCAAUUCUGGAGGUAGAGCUUCCUCGUAAGCCACCUCUCCAACUUUUCGUAGCACUUCGAAGGGUCCAAUAAAUCUCGG